CCAAAAAUAAUAUUAAAUCAAAAUUUUCAGUUCAAUCGGCGAAGCUGUUAAUAAUUAAUUAAUUUACAUAAUGUAUAUUUCUGACAAGGAAGUAUUAUCAUAUUUGGAAGAACUUGAGGUGCCAAGUACUCUGGAAGUGAUUGCAAAGCUUGCAGGUAGAAGACUUUGUACGCAUCGAUGUGAUGUUAUAAAUAGUGUUUUUGCCGCACUGGAGAGUUGUGUGUUUCGCAAUAUAAUUGUUAAAUACCAAAAGAAGUAUUUCAAUCCUUACGAUAUCUCGAAGAAACUGAUACCUCUGGAAUGUCCUCGACGUAAAAACUUAAACAGGUCAACAAAAUCGAUACAUCAAAAACUAUCUAGAACAAAGUACCUCUAUCGGAAAACUUCAAUUUGUUACUUAUGUGGACGAAAAAAAUAACGUUAGUUGUUAAUCCAUUAAACCUAAAAAUACUUUCCAGAUGACUUCAAUUCGAUAUUUUUUAUUGAAUUGAAACUUGUCAAUAUAAAUUUCGAAGUGGAAAUUAAAGAAAGAUAACAAUAUCCUCAACUUUUAAAUCUAUGGAAAUGAAAAGCUCUUAUAAAAAUUUUUAAGAAGAACAAAAAAAAUUUAAGGUAGAGAAGAGAAGACUGCUGAAUCUCGAUUGCGAGAGUUAAGUUGAUCAGUAGUUCGCGUCUCCAAACUGUCUAUGCAAGUGAUAUUGAUGGUAAUUAUUGAAGAGAAACAAUAAUCUUUCGACUGAAGAAAUUAUUAUUAUUUAAUAAUAAAAACUAUUCAAUGUAGUUCGAUGGCAGUAUUUAAUGUAAACCGCUUAUGCAAAAAAUUGAUCUGUGGAUCUUUAGAUGCAGUAAUAUAUCAAGAAUCUAUAUAAAAUUUUUGUAAUGCAUUUCACAUCGUUACUGAAUCAAAUGAGACUGAUAGACGUAUAACUGAAGUAUGGAAGGGUCUGACAAUAGGAAAGAGAUUUUUUCGAUUUAUUAUAACCUAGAAGAUUGAAAACAAGAAAGAUAGGUUACCAGAGAAAGGAAUGUAACCAAUUCCGGCUCAAAUUGAAUACUAAAACUUACUAGUGAUACGGAACCAGGUUUGUUGGCAAAGGUGAUGUAAUCUCACCGUAUAUGGUUCCAGCUCCACCCAACACAAAUGGAUUUAUGUGUUACAUAUUUCCAGUUUUGGAACAACUAACAAAAGAGUCACUUGAUGAGAAAAUGCUAAUCAACGAUACUAACAUCGAGGGAAACAGCAAAUAUUUUUCAUCAAUGAAAAUCAUCGAUUUUCAACCCAGAUGGUAUGAUUGUGUGCCGGUACUAUGUAAACAAUUUAAUUGAAUUCAAUACUAAAUAUGAUAAAACUGAAUGACAGACAUCUGUCAAAGAAAUAUGCAUUUACUUAAUAAUCCAUUUUAGUUACAUUAGGCCAUUGGGUCGGCCGGUGGCCAUGGUUUGUAUUGAAGUUGAUUCAAAAUUAUAAGCAAAUAUAAAAUACCUGAAUAUGUUUAGAAAU